rnacentral:rRNA from 1 species
GACGAACGCUGGCGGCGUGCCUAAUACAUGCAAGUCGAGCGAAGCGGCGGAUGGGUGAGAUCCGCGUGGGUAACCUGCACUUAAGUCUGGGAUAACAUUUGGAAACAGAUGCUAAGACCGGAUACUAAACGAUGGACCUGCGAUGCAUUAGCCAGUUGGUAAGGUAACGGCUUACAAAGGCGAUGAUGCAUAGCCGAGUUGAGAGACUGAUCGGCCACAUUGGGACUGAGACACGGCCCAAACUCCUACGGGAGGCAGCAGUAGGGAAUCUUCCACAAUGGACGAAAGUCUGAUGGAGCAACGCCGCGUGAGUGAAGAAGGUUUUCGGAUCGUAAAGCUCUGUUGUUGGUGAAGCGGUAAUCAACCAGAAAGUCACGGCUAACUACGUGCCAGCCGCCGCGGUAAUAC